rnacentral:rRNA from 1 species
GUGGGGAAUUUUUCGCAAUGGGCGAAAGCCUGACGAAGCAACGCCGCGUGGAGGAUGAAGGCCUUCGGGUCGUAAACUCCUGUCGAGCGGGACGAAAGCAGCCUGGCCGAAUACGCCGAGCUGUUGACUGUACCGCGAGAGGAAGCCACGGCUAACUCUGUGCCAGCAGCCGCGGUAAUACAGAGGUGGCAAGCGUUGUUCGGAAUUACUGGGCGUAAAGGGCGCGUAGGCGGCCCGAUAAGUCCCGCGUGAAAGCCCCCGGCUCAACUGGGGAAUUGCGCGGGAAACUGCUGGGCUUGAGUUCGGGAGAGGGAAGCGGAAUUCCGGGUGUAGCGGUGAAAUGCGUAGAUAUCCGGAGGAACACCAGUGGCGAAGGCGGCUUCCUGGACCGACACUGACGCUGAGGCGCGAAAGCUAGGGGAGCAAACGGGAUUAGAUACCCCAGUAGUCC